rnacentral:rRNA from 1 species
GACGAACGCUGGCGGCGUGCUUAACACAUGCAAGUCGAACGGUGAAGCGCCUUCCUUUUUGGUGGGUGUGGAUGAGUGGCGAACGGGUGAGUAACACGUGAGUAACCUGCCCCCUUCUUCUGGAUAACCGCAUGAAAGUGUGGCUAAUACGGGAUAUUCUGGGUCUGUCGCAUGAUGGGUCUGGGAAAGAUAUUGUUUCGGUGGGGGAUGGGCUCGCGGCCUAUCAGCUUGUUGGGGGGGUGAUGGCCUACCAAGGCGGGGACGGGUAGCCGGCCUGAGAGGGUGGACGGUCACACUGGGAGAGAGACACGGACCAGACUCGGACGGGAGGCAGCAGUGGGGAAUAGUGCACGAUGGGCGUAAGCCUGAUGCAGCGAGGCUGCGUGAGGGAUGGAGGCGUUCGGGAUGUGAACCUCUUUCGGGAGUGAAGCGGGCCUGCCUCGUUUGUGGGUGGGUUGACGGUAGCUGGCGAAGAAGCGCCGGCUAACUACGUG